UGGUACAGAAAUGAACUAGAUAUUAUGGUUCUCAGUAUACUGGUUGGACAGGUUGGUACAGAAAGGAACUAGUUAUUAUGGUUCUCAGUAUACUGGUUGGACAGGUUGGUACAGAAAUGAACUAGAUAUUAUGGUUCUCAGUAUACUGGUUGGACAGGUUGGUAUAGAAAGGAACUAGUUCUUAUGGUUCUCAGUAUACUGGUUGGACAGGUUGGUACAGAAAGGAACUAGUUAUUAUGGUUCUCAGUAUACUGGUUGGACAGGUUGGUACAGAAAUGAACUAGUUAUUAUGGUUCUCAGUAUACUGGUUGGACAGGUUGGUACAGAAAUGAACUAGAUAUUAUGGUUCUCAGUAUACUGGUUGGACAGGUUGGUAC
ensembl:lncRNA